GAUGAAGAACGUAGCGAAAUGCGAUAAGUAGUGUGAAUUGCAGAAUUCAGUGAAUCAUCGAAUCUUUGAACGCACAUUGCGCCCCUUGGUAUCCCGGGGGGCAUGCCUGUCCGAGCGUCAUUGCUGCCCUCAAGCACGGCUUGUGUGUUGGGCCCCGUCCUCCGAUCCCGGGGGACGGGCCCGAAAGGCAGCGGCGGCACCGCGUCCGGUCCUCGAGCGUAUGGGGCUUUGUCACCCGCUCUGUAGGCCCGGCCGGCGCUUGCCGAUCAACCCAAAUUUUUAUCCAGGUUGACCUCGGAUCAGGUAGGGAUACCCGCUGAACUUAAGCAUAUCAAUAGCGGAGGA
rnacentral:misc_RNA from 1 species